rnacentral:rRNA from 1 species
GCGGAGGAAAAGAAACUAACAAGGAUUCCCCUAGUAACGGCGAGUGAAGCGGGAAGAGCUCAAAUUUGAAAUCUGGUGGCCUCAGGUCAUCCGAGUUGUAAUCUAUAGAAGUGUUUUCCGUGCUGGCUCAUGUACAAGUCCCUUGGAACAGGGCGUCAUAGAGGGUGAGAAUCCCGUCCUUGACAUGAACUACCAGUGCUCUGUGAUACAUUUUCAACGAGUCGAGUUGUUUGGGAAUGCAGCUCAAAAUGGGUGGUAAAUUCCAUCUAAAGCUAAAUAUUGGCGAGAGACCGAUAGCGAACAAGUACCGUGAGGGAAAGAUGAAAAGCACUUUGGAAAGAGAGUUAAACAGUAUGUGAAAUUGUUGAAAGGGAAACGAUUGAAGUCAGUCGUGCUCUUUGGAUUCAGCCGGUUCUGCCGGUGUACUUCCUUUGAGUGGGGUCAACAUCAGUUUUGAUCGCUGGAUAAAGGCUGGAGGAACGUAGUACCCUCGGGUAAACUUAUAGCCUCCUGUCACAUACAGUGGUUGGGACUGAGGAACGCAGCACGCCUUUAUGGCCGGGAUUCGUCCACGUACGUGCUUAGGAUGUUGACAUAAUGGCUUUAAACGACCCGUCUUGA